GAAAACUCAAGAUCUUCGCAAUUUAACAUCGCAAAGGCCUUUAGAUUAGGCAUACCAAAUUUGGUGUUGAUCUGAAUAAAUCUCUAGGAGGAGUUCGUUAAAAUACAAGGCAUGCAAAUGACAAAAAUGAUGCAAAAUUUGCUCAUAAAAUUAAAAAUAACCGACUUCCUGUUGGGUUUCGGAUAUUGCUCCAAGAGUCUUUUUUGUAGGUACUGAUGCUUUACAUAUGUGUGCCAAUUUUCGUGCAUGUACGUGAAACACAGCUCGAGGGCUGUUGAUUUUUUUACGGUAGGUGGCGCUGUCGAGCCAUUUUGCCACACCCUCUUCUGAAACCUAUAUCAGACGUAAAUUUUCACCAGGUCUGACGCGUGUGCAAAGUUUCAGGACUUUUAGAGCAUGUUUAGGCCCUCAAAAAUGCGAUUCAUUUUGGAGAAGAAGAAGAAGAAGAAGAAUAAUAAUAAUAAUAAUAAACGAAGCAGAUACAAGAGGGUCCUCACACCAUCGGUGCUCGGGCCCUAAUUAAAGCUGCAAGCAGCGAUGAACGGGCCCUCGCACCCGGGCUCACCGCCAGCGGGUGGCUUUUGUAAAACAGCGAACGGCAAGAUAUAUGCGUUUUAUGCGGUAAAUAUAAGAGAAAUAUGUCAAAGUCAUUUAUAUGUGCCAAUCUUCCAGCUGCUAGCUGGUGGCGCUAUGACUAUAACUGGAUUUCAGCAUGUACAUUUCUUCAGUCCAG
ensembl:lncRNA